rnacentral:rRNA from 1 species
CCCCUAGUAACUGCGAGUGAAGCGGGAAGAGCUCAAAUUUAAAAUCUGGCAGUCUUCUGGCUGUCCGAGUUGUAAUCUGGAGAAGCGUUUUCUGUGUUAGACCGUGUACAAGUCUCCUGGAACGGAGCGUCAUAGAGGGUGAGAAUCCCGUCCAUGACACGGACUACUAAUACUUUGUGAUACGCUCUCGAAGAGUCGAGUUGUUUGGGAAUGCAGCUCAAAAUGGGUGGUAAAUUCCAUCUAAAGCUAAAUACAGGCGAGAGACCGAUAGCGAACAAGUACCGUGAGGGAAAGAUGAAAAGCACUUUGGAAAGAGAGUUAAACAGUACGUGAAAUUGUUGAAAGGGAAACGCUUGAAGUCAGUCGCGUUGUGCAGAACUCAGCCUUGCCUCGGCUUGGUGUACUUUCUGCACAACGGGUCAACAUCAAUUUUGGCCCAUGGAGAAAGGUGGGGGGAAUGUAGCGCUGUUUCGGCAGCGUGUUAUAGCUCUCUAUUGUAUACAUGGGCUGGGAUUGAGGAUCGCAGCACGCCCUUGUGGCCGGGGGUUCGCCCUACGUACCGUGCUUAGGAUGUUGGCAGAAUGGCUUUAAGCGACCCGUCUUGAAACACGGACCAAGGAGUCUAACAUGCUUGCGAGUGUUCGGGUGGAAAACCCUUGUGCGUAAUGAAAGUGAAAGUUGGGAACCUCCGCAAGGGGGUGCACCGACGCCCGGCCCUGACGUUCUCUGACGGUGCUGCGGUAGAGCAAGUAUGCUAGGACCCGAAAGAUGGUGAACUAUGCCUGAAUAGGGCGAAGCCAGAGGAAACUCUGGUGGAGGCUCGUAGCGAUUCUGACGUGCAAAUCGAUCGUCAAAUUUGGG